GGAAAUGUGCCCGAGACAGGGACUACCUUGAUAGAGUAGACACGGAACUAAAAUUCCCAUUUCCC
rnacentral:tRNA from 1 species